AUUGAACGCUGGCGGCAUGCCUAACACAUGCAAGUCGAGCGGAGCGGCGGGCGGGUGGGUAAUGCCUAGGAAUCUGCCUGGUAGUGGGGGAUAACGUCCGGAAACGGGAGCUAAGACCGCAUACUAUCAGAUGAGCCUAGGUCGGAGUAGCUAGUUGGUGGGGUAAAGGCCUACCAAGGCGACGAUCCGUAACUGGUCUGAGAGGGUGAUCAGUCACACUGGAACUGAGACACGGUCCAGAAUCCUACGGGAGGCAGCAGUGGGGAAUAUUGGACAAUGGGCGAAAGCCUGACGCAGCCACGCCGCGUGAGUGAAGAAGGUCUUCGGAUUGUAAAACACUUUAAGUUGGGCGGCGUUAACAACAGAAAAAGCCACGGCUAACUUCGUGCCAGCCGCCGCGGUAAUAC
rnacentral:rRNA from 1 species